GCCAGAAAUGAGCAUGGAGGGAAAUACUCUGUUACUGUGACUUUAAAUGUCCAGUAUCCUCCCAGGAACGUCUCAGUGUCUGUCACUGAUUCUGGUCAGCUUUGGUUUGAUUCAGUGAGUCUGAGCUGCAUCAGUGACUCAAACCCUCCUGCUCUGAACUUCAGCUGGUUUAAGGAGAAUCAAAGCUCUGCUGUUGGAUCUGGACAGAGUUUCAGUGCAGUACAGAGUGGACGCUUCUACUGUGAGGCUCACAAUCCACAUGGAGCUCAGAGAUCAGACGCCGUCACUGUCACUGUUCAACAACAUGCUGAGAGAAACAUCAUCAUCAUCACAGCGACAUCUGGAGGAUU